rnacentral:rRNA from 1 species
UUGGAGGGCAAGUCUGGUGCCAGCAGCCGCGGUAAUUCCAGCUCCAAUAGCGUAUAUUAAAGUUGUUGCAGUUAAAAAGCUCGUAGCUGAAUUUCGGGAUUGACACAUCGGUCGUGCCUUAAGGGGUAUGAACUGGUGUAGUCAAUUUCUCACCUUCUGGAGAACCGCGAUGCCCUUAAUUGGGUGCCGCGGGGAACCAGGACCUUUACUUUGAAAAAAUAGAGUGUUUAAAGCAGGCAUUUUGCUUGAAUACAUUAGCAUGGAAUAAUAAAAUAGGACGGCAUGAUUCUAUUUUGUUGGUUUCUAGGAUCACCGUAAUGAUUAAUAGGGAUAGUUGGGGGCAUUAGUAUUCAAUUGUCAGAGGUGAAAUUCUUGGAUUUAUUGAAGACUAACUACUGCGAAAGCAUUUGCCAAGGAUGUUUUCAUUAAUCAAGAACGAAAGUUAGGGGAUCGAAGACGAUCAGAUACUGUCGUAGUCUUAACCAUAAACUAUGCCGACUAGGAAUCAGACGAUGUUAAUUUUUAAUGACUCGUUUGGCACCUUACGGGAAACCAAAGUGUUUGGGUUC